UCGAGAAUCUUCCGCAAUGGACGCAAGUCCGACGGAGCGACGCCGCGUGCGGGAUGAAGGCCUUCGGGUUGUAAACCGCUGUCAGUUGGGAGGAAAUGCUAUGGGGCACUCUCCAUAGUUUGACCGAUCUUCAGAGGAAGUCCGGGCUAAGUUCGUGCCAGCAGCCGCGGUAAGACGAACCGGACGAACGUUAUUCGGAAUCACUGGGCUUAAAGAGUGCGUAGGCGGUCUUGUAGGUUGGGUGUGAAAUCCCACGGCUCAACCGUGGAACUGCGCUCAAAACCACAAGGCUUGAGGGAGGCAGAGGUAAGCGGAACUGAUGGUGGAGUGGUGAAAUGCGUUGAUAUCAUCAGGAACACCAGUGGCGAAGGCGGCUUACUGGGCCUUUACUGACGCUGAGGCACGAAAGCUAGGGUAGCGAACGGGAUUAGAUACCCCCGUAGU
rnacentral:rRNA from 1 species